rnacentral:rRNA from 1 species
CAUUGCUAUCGGAGUCCGAUUUAGCCAUGCUAGUCGCACGGGUUCAGACCCGUGGCAGAUAGCUCAGUAACACGUGGCCAAACUACCCUCUGGACGAGACUAACCUCGGGAAACUGAGGCUAAUGCUCGAUACAGCUCCCAGACUUGAACGUCGGGAGCUGGAAACGCUCCGGCGCCGGAGGAUGUGGCUGCGGCCGAUUAGGUAGACGGUGGGGUAACGGCCCACCGUGCCGAUAAUCGGUACAGGUUGUGAGAGCAAGAGCCUGGAGACGGAAUCUGAGACAAGAUUCCGGGCCCUACGGGGCGCAGCAGGCGCGAAACCUUUACACUGCACGACAGUGCGAUAAGGGGACUCCGAGUGCGAGGGCAUAUAGUCCUCGCUUUUCUGUACCGUAAGGUGGUACAGGAACAAGUGCUGGGCAAGACCGGUGCCAGCCGCCGCGGUAAUACCGGCAGCACGAGUGAUGGCCGCUCUUAUUGGGCCUAAAGCGUCCGUAGCUGGCCGAGCAAGUCCGUCGGGAAAUCCAGUGGCUCAACCACUGGGCGUCCGGUGGAAACUGUUCGGCUUGGGACCGGAAGACUCGAGGGGUACGUCCGGGGUAGGAGUGAAAUCCUGUAAUCCUGGACGGACCACCGAUGGCGAGAGCACCUCGAGAGCACGGAUCCGACAGUGAGGGACGAAAGCUAGGGUCUCGAACCGGAUUAGAUACCCGGGUAGUCCUAGCCGUUAACGAUGCUCGCUAGGUUUGGCGCAGGCUACGAGCCUGCGCUGUGCCGCAGUGAAGACGUAAGCGAGCCGCCUGGGAAGUACGUCCGCAAGGAUGAAACUUAAAGGAAUUGGCGGGGGAGCACUACAACCGGAGG